CAAAAAGAGAAAUUUAUAAAUCCAUUAUGUAUUAGAAAAAAAAUAUAUUUGAAAGGACUUAUUUGUAACAGAAUAGGUAUUGAAUAGUAUGAUAGUUAGGGGACAGAUAUGAUGGGGGGACGGGUCUAACAGGUGGUAUAUGAGACCUGAGAAUGUUGGGUCUCUUCGGUACUUGAUAAUUAUAAGAUGCUUAUUACAAAGAUACAGGAUAUUAUUAUUGUUGGUAUUCAAAUUAUUUUACUAUGCAAGGGUCAAUAAUAUUGCAUACAAUAGUAAGUACAAAAAGAUCUUUUGAAUAGAACGGCG